rnacentral:rRNA from 1 species
GACGAACCGUGCGAACGUUGUUCGGAAUCACUGGGCUUAAAGGGCGCGUAGGCGGGCGGCCAAGUCCGGGGUGAAAGCCCCCAGCUCAACUGGGGAAGUGCCUUGGAAACUGGUCCGUCUUGAGGGAGGUAGGGGGAUGCGGAAUUCCGGGUGUAGUGGUGGAAUGCGUAGAGAUCCGGAGGAACACCAGCGGCGAAGGCGGCAUCCUGGACUGGUCCUGACACUCAGGAGCGAAAGCGUGGGGAGCGAUCCGG